rnacentral:rRNA from 1 species
ACAGAGGUGGCAAGCGUUGUUCGGAAUUACUGGGCGUAAAGGGCGCGUAGGCGGCCCUCUAAGUCAGACGUGAAAUCCCCCGGCUUAACCUGGGAACUGCGUCUGAUACUGGGGGGCUAGAGUUUGGGAGAGGGAUGUAGAAUUCCAGGUGUAGCGGUGAAAUGCGUAGAUAUCUGGAGGAAUACCGGUGGCGAAGGCGGCAUCCUGGACCAAUACUGACGCUGAGGCGCGAAAGCUAGGGGAGCAAACGGGAUUAGAUACCCCGGUAGUCCUAGCCCUAAACGAUGAAUACUUGGUGUGGCGGGUAUCGAUCCCUGCCGUGCCGAAGCUAACGCAUUAAGUAUUCCGCCUGGGGAGUACGGUCGCAAGGCUG